UACGUAGGGGGCUAGCGUUGUCCGGAAUCAUUGGGCGUAAAGCGCGCGUAGGCGGCCCGGUAAGUCCGCUCUGAAAGUCCAGGGCUCAACCCUGGAAAGCGGGUGGAUACUGCCGGGCUAGAGUCCGGAAGAGGCGAGUGGAAUUCCCGGUGUAGCGGUGAAAUGCGCAGAUAUCGGGAGGAACACCAGCGGCGAAGGCGGCACUCUGGGCUGGAACGUGACGCUGAGAGCGAAAGCGUGGGUAGCAACAGG
rnacentral:rRNA from 1 species